rnacentral:rRNA from 1 species
AGCCGCGGUAAUACCGGCGGCUCGAGUGGUGGCCACUUUUAUUGGGCUUAAAGCGUUCGUAGCUGGGUUGUUAAGUCUCUUGGGAAAUCCGGCGGCUUAACCGUCGGGCGUCUAAGAGAUACUGGCAAUCUUGGAACCGGGAGAGGUGAGGGGUACUUCGGGGGUAGGAGUGAAAUCCUGUAAUCCUCGAGGGACCACCUGUGGCGAAGGCGCCUCACCAGAACGGCUUCGACAGUGAGGGACGAAAGCUGGGGGAGCAAACCGGAUUAGAUACCCGGGUAGUCCCAGCCGUAAACGAUGUGCGUUAGGUGUAUCGACGACCACGAGUCGUCGAGGUGCCGAAGGGAAACCGUGAAACGUACCGCCUGGGAAGUACGGUCGCAAGGCUGAAACUUAAAGGAAUUGGCGGGGGAGCACCACAACAGGUGGAGCCUGCGGUUUAAUUGGACUCAACGCCGGGAAGCUCACCGGAUAGGACAGCGGAAUGAUUGCCGGGCUGAAGACUCUGCAUGACUAGCU